CCAGCUCCAAUAGCGUAUAUUAAAGUUGUUGCAGUUAAAUAGCUCGUAGUUGAAUUUUGGGCUGGGCUGGGUGGUCUUGCCGCAAGGUUAGCACUGCUCUGGUCUGGUCUUUCCUUCUGGCGAUCCAUCGUGCUCUUCACUGGGUGCGGUGGGGAACCAGGACUUUUACUUUGAAAAAAUUAGAGUGUUCAAAGCAGGCAUUUGCUCGAAUACAUUAGCAUGGAAUAAUAGAAUAGGACUUUGGUUCUAUUUUGUUGGUUUCUAGGACCGAAGUAAUGAUUAAUAGGGAUAGUUGGGGGCAUUAGUAUUUAAUUGUCAGAGGUGAAAUUCUUGGAUUUAUGAAAGACUAACUUCUGCGAAAGCAUUUGCCAAGGAUGUUUUCA
rnacentral:rRNA from 1 species